rnacentral:rRNA from 1 species
UACGUAGGGGGCGAGCGUUGUCCGGAGUUACUGGGCGUAAAGCGCCCGCAGGCGGUCCAUUAAGUUCAGGGUGACAGUCAUCAGCUUAACUGGUGAAGGACUUUGAAAACUGGUGGACUUGAGAGCGAGAGAGGGACAUGGAACUCCGGGUGGAGCAGUGAAAUGCGUAGAGAUCCGGAAGAACACCAAAGGCGAAGGCAGUGUCCUGGCUCGUGUCUGACGCUCAGGGGCGAAAGCGAGGGGAGCGAACGGG